UGCAAGCGUUAAUCGGAAUUACUGGGCGUAAAGCGCACGCAGGCGGUUUGUUAAGUCAGAUGUGAAAUCCCCGCGCUUAACGUGGGAACUGCAUUUGAAACUGGCAAGCUAGAGUCUUGUAGAGGGGGGUAGAAUUCCAGGUGUAGCGGUGAAAUGCGUAGAGAUCUGGAGGAAUACCGGUGGCGAAGGCGGCCCCCUGGACAAAGACUGACGCUCAGGUGCGAAAGCGUGGGGAGCAAACAGGAUUAGAUGCCCUGGUAGUCCACGCUGUAAACGAUGUCGACUUGGAGGUUGUGCCCUUGAGGCGUGGCUUCCGGAGCUAACGCGUUAAGUCGACCGCCUGGGGAGUACGGCCGCAAGGUUAAAACUCAAAUGAAUUGACGGGGGCCCGCACAAGCGGUGGAGCAUGUGGUUUAAUUCGAUGCAACGCGAAGAACCUUACCUACUCUUGACAUCCACGGAAUUCGCCAGAGAUGGCUUAGUGCCUUCGGGAACCGUGAGACAGGUGCUGCAUGGCUGUCGUCAGCUCGUGUUGUGAAAUGUUGGGUUAAGUCCCGCAACGAGCGCAACCCUUAUCCUUUGUUGCCAGCACGUAAUGGUGGGAACUCAAAGGAGACUGCCGGUGAUAAACCGGAGGAAGGUGGGGAUGACGUCAAGUCAUCAUGGCCCUUACGAGUAGGGCUACACACGUGCUACAAUGGCAUAUACAAAGAGAAGCGAACUCGCGAGAGCAAGCGGACCUCAUAAAGUAUGUCGUAGUCCGGAUUGGAGUCUGCAACUCGACUCCAUGAAGUCGGAAUCGCUAGUAAUCGUAGAUCAGAAUGCUACGGUGAAUACGUUCCCGGGCCUUGUACACACCGCCCGUCACACCAUGGGAGUGGGUUGCAAAAGAAGUAGGUAGCUUAACCUUCGGGAGGGCGCUUACCACUUUGUGAUUCAUGACUGGGGUGAAGUCGUAAC
rnacentral:rRNA from 1 species